UACAGGGGGUGCAAACGUUGCUCGGAAUCAUUGGGCGUAAAGCGCACGUAGGCGGUUCGUUAUGUCGGAUGUGAAAGCCCUUGGCUUAACCGAGGAAGUGCAUCCGAAACUGGCGAGCUAGAGUACUAAAGAGGAUCGCGGAAUUCCCGGUGUAGAGGUGAAAUGCGCAGAUAUCAGGAGGAACACCGGUGGCGAAGGCGGGUCUCUGGGCCGAUACUGACGCUGAGGAGCGAAAGCAUGGGGAGCGAACAGG
rnacentral:rRNA from 1 species